UUGUUUUCAAACUCCAGGAACAUGAGACAUGAAUUUGGUCAAGCUUUAACUGAUUGCUUACUUUGGUAUGUAUUUUGCUUUGUGUUUUCAUAGAGUAAAAAAGCCAUAAAGAGUAUCUUACAAAAAUGCACCUACUUACCAGCCCUUGAGCCAUUUCUCUAUGAUGCUCCUCCCAAUAUUCUGAAGCAUGUGGUCGGACAGUUCAGUAAGGUGCUGCCACACGAUAGCAAAGCUCGACGACUUUUUGUAACAAGUGGUGGACUGAAAAAGGUUCAGGAGAUCAAAGCAGAACCUGGGUCUCUUCUCCAGGAAUACAUCAACAGCAUUAACAACUGCUACCCAGAGGAAAUAGUAAGGUAUUAUUCUCCUGGAUAUUCAGAUACACUUCUGCAGAGAGUGGACAGCUAUCAACCACUUAGUAACUAAGCAAAGUUAUGUUUUUACACUCAAAUUUGCAGUACAGUAGUUAUAAAAUAACAGUUGUUAAAUAAAGCUCUUUCUAAAUAUUUGAACUAAGUAUAUUCUAGAUUUAUUCAAUGUGAAAUACCUUUAGAUAAUAUUUUCUUAAUUUAUGUAAUACUUUAAAAAUUACUAGCUUGAAUAUAUGAGAAACUAUUCAUGGUCAUUUCCACAGGAUUUACUAAAAAGG